rnacentral:rRNA from 1 species
GGAAAGGCGGGGUGCUAUACAUGCAGUCGAACGCGUUGGCCCAAUUGAUUGAUGGUGCUUGCACCUGAUUGAUUUUGGUCGCCAACGAGUGGCGGACGGGUGAGUAACACGUAGGUAACCUGCCCAGAAGCGGGGGACAACAUUUGGAAACAGAUGCUAAUACCGCAUAACAGCGUUGUUCGCAUGAACAACGCUUAAAAGAUGGCUUCUCGCUAUCACUUCUGGAUGGACCUGCGGUGCAUUAGCUUGUUGGUGGGGUAACGGCCUACCAAGGCGAUGAUGCAUAGCCGAGUUGAGAGACUGAUCGGCCACAAUGGGACUGAGACACGGCCCAUACUCCUACGGGAGGCAGCAGUAGGGAAUCUUCCACAAUGGGCGCAAGCCUGAUGGAGCAACACCGCGUGAGUGAAGAAGGGUUUCGGCUCGUAAAGCUCUGUUGUUAAAGAAGAACACGUAUGAGAGUAACUGUUCAUACGUUGACGGUAUUUAACCAGAAAGUCACGGCUAACUACGUGCCAGCAGCCGCGGUAAUACGUAGGUGGCAAGCGUUAUCCGGAUUUAUUGGGCGUAAAGAGAGUGCAGGCGGUUUUCUAAGUCUGAUGUGAAAGCCUUCGGCUUAACCGGAGAAGUGCAUCGGAAACUGGAUAACUUGAGUGCAGAAGAGGGUAGUGGAACUCCAUGUGUAGCGGUGGAAUGCGUAGAUAUAUGGAAGAACACCAGUGGCGAAGGCGGCUACCUGGUCUGCAACUGACGCUGAGACUCGAAAGCAUGGGUAGCGAACAGGAUUAGAUACCCUGGUAGUCCAUGCCGUAAACGAUGAGUGCUAGGUGUUGGAGGGUUUCCGCCCUUCAGUGCCGGAGCUAACGCAUUAAGCACUCCGCCUGGGGAGUACGACCGCAAGGUUGAAACUCAAAGGAAUUGACGGGGGCCCGCACAAGCGGUGGAGCAUGUGGUUUAAUUCGAAGCUACGCGAAGAACCUUACCAGGUCUUGACAUCUUGCGCCAACCCUAGAGAUAGGGCGUUUCCUUCGGGAACGCAAUGACAGGUGGUGCAUGGUCGUCGUCAGCUCGUGUCGUGAGAUGUUGGGUUAAGUCCCGCAACGAGCGCAACCCUUGUUACUAGUUGCCAGCAUUAAGUUGGGCACUCUAGUGAGACUGCCGGUGACAAACCGGAGGAAGGUGGGGACGACGUCAGAUCAUCAUGCCCCUUAUGACCUGGGCUACACACGUGCUACAAUGGACGGUACAACGAGUCGCGAACUCGCGAGGGCAAGCAAAUCUCUUAAAACCGUUCUCAGUUCGGACUGCAGGCUGCAACUCGCCUGCACGAAGUCGGAAUCGCUAGUAAUCGCGGAUCAGCAUGCCGCGGUGAAUACGUUCCCGGGCCUUGUACACACCGCCCGUCACACCAUGAGAGUUUGUAACACCCAAAGUCGGUGGGGUAACCUUUUAGGAGCCAGCCGCAUAAGGUGACAGAUUGG